UGAAUACGAGACGCUAAGGCGUCGAAGUAGUGUAUGUCAUACUUCCAAGAAAAGCUUGCACUGUCAUAAGUAAAAAAUGCCUGUACCAUAACCGACACAGGUGGGUAGGUAGAGUAUACUAAGGGGCGCGAGAUAACUCUCUCUAAGGAACUCGGCAAAAUAACUCCGUAACUUCGGGAGAAGGAGUACCUUAUUCUAUAAGGUUGCAAUAACAAGAUCCAAGCAACUGUUUAUCAAAAACACAGGUCUCCGCUAAGUCGUAAGACGAUGUAUGGGGGCUGACGCCUGCCCAGUGCCAGAAGGUUAAAGAAGUCGGUUAGCAUUAGCGAAGCUGGUAACUGAAGCCCUGGUGAACGGCGGCCGUAACAAUAACGGUCCUAAGGUAGCGAAAUUCCUUGUCGGGUAAGUUCCGACCCGCACGAAAGGCGUAAUGAUUUGGAUACUGUCUCGGAGAGGGGCUCGGUGAAAUAGACUUGUCUGUGAAGAUGCGGACUACCUGCACCAGGACAGAAAGACCCUAUGAAGCUUUACUGUAACUUGAAAUUGAAAUUGGACUUUAUUCGCGCAGUAUAGGUGGGAGGUGUUGAUUAUAAUCUUGCGGGAUUAUUGGAGCCAUCAGUGAGAUACCACUCUUGUAAUGUUAGAUUUCUAACUUUGAGUCAUUAUCUGGUCAAAGGACAGUUUCAGGCGGGCAGUUUGACUGGGGCGGUCGCCUCCCAAACGGUAACGGAGGCGUACAAAGGUUUCCUCUGAACGGGUAGAAAUCGUAUCUAGAGUGUAAAGGCAUAAGGAAGCUUGACUGUGAGACCUACAAGUCGAACAGGGACGAAAGUCGGUCUGAGUGAUCUGACGGUACUGAGUGGAAAGGCCGUCACUCAACGGAUAAAAGUUACUCUAGGAUAACAGGCUGAUCUCCCCCAAGAGUUCACAUCGACGGGGAGGUUUGGCACCUCGAUGUCGGCUCAUCGCAUCCUGGGGCGGUAGUACGUCCCAAGGGUUGGGCUGUUCGCCUAUGAAAGCGGUACGCGAGCUGGGUUCAGAACGUCGUGAGACAGUUCGGUCCAUAUCCGGUGUAGGCGUUAGAAUAUUGAGAGGAGCCUUCUUUAGUACGAGAGGACCGAGAAGGACAUACCUCUGGUGUACCAGUUAUCGUGCCAACGGUAAACGCUGGGUAGCUAUGUAUGGAGUGGAUAACCGCUGAAAGCAUCUAAGUGGGAAGCCCACCUCAAGAUAAGUAUUCUC
rnacentral:rRNA from 1 species